rnacentral:rRNA from 1 species
UACAACGAGUCGCAAGCUCGCGAGAGUAAGCUAAUCUCUUAAAGCCGUUCUCAGUUCGAACUGUAGGCUGCAACUCGCCUACACGAAGUCGGAAUCGCUAGUAAUCGCGGAUCAGCAUGCCGCGGUGAAUACGUUCCCGGGCCUUGUACACACCGCCCGUCACACCAUGGGAGUUUGUAACGCCCAAAGUCGGUGGCCUAACCUUUAUGGAGGGAGCCGCCUAAGGCGGGACAGAUGACUGGGGUGAAGUCGUAACAAGGUAAC